ACGGGUGAGGAAUGCAUCGGAAUCUACCCUGUCGUGGGGGAUAACGUAGGGAAACUUACGCUAAUACCGCAUGCGACCGAGAGGUGAAAGUGGGGGACCGCAAGGCCUCACGCGAUUGGAUGAGCCGAUGCCGGAUUAGCUAGUUGGUGGGGUAAAGGCCCACCAAGGCGACGAUCCGUAGCUGGUCUGAGAGGAUGAUCAGCCACACUGGGACUGAGACACGGCCCAGACUCCUACGGGAGGCAGCAGUGGGGAAUAUUGGACAAUGGGCGCAAGCCUGAUCCAGCCAUGCCGCGUGUGUGAAGAAGGCCUUCGGGUUGUAAAGCACUUUUGUUCGGGAAGAAAUCAGUUCGGCUAAUACCUGGGCUGGAUGACGGUACCGAAAGAAUAAGCACCGGCUAACUUCGUGCCAGCAGCCGCGGUAAUACGAAGGGUGCAAGCGUUACUCGGAAUCACUGGGCGUAAAGCGUGCGUAGGCGGUUAGUUAAGUCUGCUGUGAAAGCCCUGGGCUCAACCUGGGAACUGCAGUGGAUACUGGCUGGCUAGAGUGUGAUAGAGGAUGGUGGAAUUCCCGGUGUAGCGGUG
rnacentral:rRNA from 1 species